rnacentral:rRNA from 1 species
AUACGUAGGGGGCAAGCGUUAUCCGGAUUUACUGGGUGAAAAGGGAGCGUAGACGGAAGGCCAAGUCUGAUGUGCAAGCCCGCGGCUCAACUGCGGGACUGCAUUGGAAACUGGUCAUCUGGAGUGCAGGAGGGGUAAGCGGAAUUCCUAGUGUAGCGGUGGAAUGAGUAGAUAUUAGGAGAAACACCGGUGACGAAGGUGGCUUACAGGACUGUAAGUGAUGUUGGGGCACAAAAGCGUGGGGAGUAAAUAGGAGUAGUUACCCUGAUAUUCCACGCCGAAUACGAUGAAUACUAGGUGUCGUGUUUCUAUAGAGAUUCGGAGCCGCAACAAUCGCAAUUAGUAUUCAAACUGGGGAGUUCGUUAGCAAGAAUAAAACUCAAAGGAAUUGACAAGG